UACGGAGGGUGCAAGCGUUAUCCGGAUUUAUUGGGUUUAAAGGGUUCGUAGGCGGGAUAUUAAGUCAGUGGUGAAAGCCCACAGCUCAACUGUGGAACUGCCAUUGAUACUGGUAUUCUUGAAUUUAUCUGAAGUAGGCGGAAUGUGUCAUGUAGCGGUGAAAUGCUUAGAUAUGACACAGAACACCGAUUGCGAAGGCAGCUUACUAAGAUGACAUUGACGCUGAGGAACGAAAGCGUGGGGAGCGAACAGG
rnacentral:rRNA from 1 species